AACGAACGCUGGCGGCGUGCCUAACACAUGCAAGUCGCGCGAGAAAACCGGGGGGCAACUCCGGGGGGUAAAGCGGCGCACGGGUGAGUAACACGUAGGCAACCUACCUUCGAGUCCGGGAUAACCUUCCGAAAGGAGGGCUAAUACUGGGUAAGACCACGGGGCUUCGGCUCUGCGGUUAAAGAUGGCCUCUGCCUGCAAGCUAUCGCUCGAUGAUGGGCCUGCGCACCAUUAGCUAGUGGCGGGGUAACGGCCCACCAAGGCGAAGAUGGUUAGCUGGUCUGAGAGGAUGAUCAGCCACACUGGGACUGAGACACGGCCCAGACUCCUACGGGAGGCAGCAGGUGGGGAAUAUUGGACAA
rnacentral:rRNA from 1 species